rnacentral:misc_RNA from 1 species
GAUGAAGAACGCAGCGAAAUGCGAUAAGUAAUGUGAAUUGCAGAAUUCAGUGAAUCAUCGAAUCUUUGAACGCACAUUGCGCCCUUUGGUAUUCCGAAGGGCAUGCCUGUUCGAGCGUCAUUAUCACCCCUCAAGCCCUCGGCUUGGUGUUGGACGGUUUGGUGGAGGCCCCCUCGGGGGCUCCUGCCCCUCCCAAAGACAAUGACGGCGGCCUCGUUGGAUCCCCGGUACACUGAGUUCUUCACGGGACACGUAUCGGACACAUGGGUUUACGGGACACGGUCUGCCUCCCCUCAGGGAGAAUCUUUCUAAGGUUGACCUCGGAUCAGGUAGGGAUACCCGCUGAACUUAAGCAUAUCAAUAAGCGGAGGA